GUGGUUCGUCCUUGUGAUUUACUAGUAUGUAUAUCUCGGAAGUUGAGGAUCUCUUAGAUGCAUCUAUUUGUGGCUUUGUAUGACAACUCACUACACCGAUAAACUAUCAAAUUUUGAUAAUGGGGGGCUUAUGUGUGGCAUCAACAGUGCCAGUGUUUGAGACAUUGUGUUGUUAGGCACCUAUUGAGAGAGUAUGUUGAUUAAGAAGCCAAUGCAUGAAGUGCAUAAGAUGGCUAAUGAUCACACAAUACGUCACGACGUGUAAUAAGUGUGGGAAAGUGUGUGGUCGAUGCCAUUGAGUGCAUGGAAUGUAUGUGGAUGGACUAUGGAUUACUUGAGAUCAUGAUAGAGCAUAUCAUUCUAAUGGGUGGAUGAUAUUUGUAAUUAAAAAAAAAUGUCGAAAAUAGUGGGGGAAUGUUGACAUGAGUUUUGUUUUUUACAUUUUUUUUUUUUAUUUUCUCAAAAUACUAUUCUUAUGACCAAAAUACCCUAGCUUUAUUGUUAUAUACUAUAAUAUAGUUUGCAUGCAUCCCUUAUGCCAAGUGUUUAAAAAGAAAAAGUAAACCUCAUUCCCCAAAAACACACCGUUGGAAUGUUGGGGCCAAAUAAGUAGAUGGGUUGGGAGAAAAAGCUAUGGUGUUCUAGUCUCUCUCUCACUACCCAAAAUUCCUCUUUUUCUCUCUCCACAAAUUUUAGAGGUAUCUUGGUCUCAAGGGAGCACCCAAGAGCCUUGAAAGGUCACCUUGAGACAAGCUACUGCUGAGUCUAUUUCAUUACCCAUUACCCUUAACUUUCUCUUUCUAUAUAUUGCUACUAAUGUCUCGAUGUUCUAGAAUUUCCAGCAACAUUUUUGGGGUGCUUUUGAUAUUUUUGAGCUAAAGAUUUGCUUAUUCUCUACAUGCUUUAGUUGGAGCAAUUGGUGAGUUUGUUUCAUACUCCAUUUUUGCUCAUUUGCUAUGAUUCAUAGUCAUAAUAGAGCAUGAUUUAGAAGAUAACAAUUUGGGGAUUUGAUUUGAUGAUUUAAGGAGUUCUUAGUUGUAGAUUAUUGCUAUGCUUCGUAUGUGUUUGAUAAUAUUUUCAAGUGAGGUUCAAAGAGGGAUUUUGACCUAAUUUUGCAUAAAUCCAUCUUAAUAGCCAUUCUAAAUCGAUCCUAAUAGUAUCUACCACCCUUUACCUAAGCCCCGGCCUCCGGCCCCCUCUCUCUCUCUCUCUGUAUCUACCCCAUUUUACCUAAGCCCUCCCUCUCUGUAAAAAUUGUAAGCUCUCUCUCUCUCUAAACCCCUUUAUCGAAGAUACUGCCUGAGGCCUCACCUUCUCACUCUGUUAAAAUCUUUUGGUUGCACAAAUUCUCAGAAAUUCACCAUGGGGAAAGGUACGAAGCGUAAGCCUAAGACGCAAAAGGAUACAGAUAGUAAGAACAAAGAAUGUGCUCUCAAGGGCUUAAGUGUAAGCACAUUUUCCAUCUCUCUAUGGGGUAAUUCUUUGAUUAUUUUGUCUUCUUUGUCGCUCUUUGAAUUAUGAAUACUCUCUCUCAUUCUCUCUGUUUCUCUCUCUCUUGUGUCUUUUCGAUGUCCUUGACUUUGAGCAUCACUGCUUGACUUGGUAUGGACUUCGAAAAGUAUAGCUAAUCGUGGCAAAAAAUCAUUUGCAAACUGCGGUUGUAGGCAACUUGACUUUUGCAUUUGAUCAUUUUCUUUUGGAAUUUGAUUGGGCUUUCCUUAUUUGUUCAAAAUGGUUUCAUUCACUUUUGUAGCUGAUCAUUUUCUUUUGGAUUUUGACGGGCCUUUCCUUAUUUGUCCCAAAUGGUUUCUUAUAUUUUAGACUACUUGCAUGUCAUAAAUUUUUUACUACUUUUCUUUUCAUUUUGAUAAUUGCAACCUUUUAAUUAUGUGAUUUUAUGCUUUUUAUUUUCAUAUUUUAUCGAUUAAUUUUUUGAUGGCUCUGCUUUCCUUCUCUUGGUGGUGAUUUCUAUGGUCUUAAUUUUUUAUUUUUAUUUUUCUUUUUUUGCAGGUUUGUGAUGAGAUCAUAGAACACAUUAAUGUAGGUGUAGAGCACAAAAUAAUAUUUUAUUCUAAAAGCAUAGUAGAUGGAGAAGGGGAUGAUGACAUUACUUGCACAGGGAAACUUUGGAAAAAGGGAUGUAGUACUUAUGAGAUCGAGGAAUUCAUUUCCUCUCAUGGACUCUCAAUGGUUUCCAUUGUCCAAGUUCAAUGGAGAUGGAGGGAUGUCAGAAAAUCCAAGAAUUACAACGUUUUUGUUUUUUUACACCAAACGGAUAUUGAACUCGAAUACUAAUUGGUUUAAUGAGGUUAGAUCUCAUUAGAAAUCGUGCCUUGUUUUCUUUUAUUGUAAUUUUUUGUAAUUAAAUUUUUAUUUGUGCGACUAUUUUUUUUGGAUUUGAAUAAGAAGGAUUAUGGACACAGGAAUAUAGUGCUUGGGGCAAGAGAAUUUCAAAAAUGGAAUAUUUCACUUACUUCCUUGAGCACAAAACACAGUUGUGAAAACGAUAUCAAAAGGAGUCGUGGCAAAGAUAAUACCACUGGUUCAAAAUAUUACAGACCAUGACGUAAAGAAGGAUGAAAUUGAUUAUUUCCGCCAAGUAUUUUCUUAUGCUUUAGAAAUACUUGAUGAGAAGCUAGUAAAUGAUGAUCCAAAGGGUUUUUUGCCUAUUAGAGAUCUUCUAGAUAUCAUGAAUAACCUUAAGAUCAACAAUAGGCAAGUAUAAUGUUUCUUUUUUUAUGCAGUGGAGUUGUUAUGGUAAGUUCUAUUUCUAUUUAGCUUUUGAUAAAUAAAAGAUGGAUUUAAAAUGUGUUUUUGCAUGUUUGUUUUUCAGGUCAUGCCUCUCGGAUAUAUUAGUUCAUCCAUUCUUUUGGGUCAAGGAGAAAUGUGGGUAUUUCCUUGUAGAUGUCUAUCUCACAAUCGAAGGAAUGGAUUUGACAUUGGAGAAUCAUAUUAUUUCAAGUUUGAAUAGCUUGUGUCCUAUUGUGAUAAAAAAUGGUGUCUGGCCUCCAUGUCUUAAUGGAGGACUAUUGGCAAUCUAUGAUUAUCAACAGGUUUCCUUGAAAAAAACAUUCAAUCGUAGGAGUUUAUUUGAUUUUUUGCAAUUCAUUCAGAAUAUAGUGUGCUACUUCAAUGAAAAUAAUGGUUUCUGCAAGGUAUAAUUCAUUUGCUUCAUUUCUAUGAAAAACAGUUCCAUGUCAUAUCUUAUGUUUCAAAUGAAUAGCUAACCCCAAAUAAUUGGGGAUAAGUCUUGGAUGAUGAUGAUGUUCCAAAUGAAUGUUGCAGUUGCAUAUUGGUGAUUUGGCUGCUCUCCAUGAUGAAAUUUCAGAAUGUUUUCCAAAGUUGCUUGUGGCGAUCCACAGGAUUGCCAAGUCCGAACUUGGCAAACAAAGGUUGCAAAGCUACUUUCAGCCAUGCACUGCAUAAUCAAAGUCGCUGAGCAUGACACUUUUAGGGAGACUCAAUGGCUGGAGGUUUGGCCAAAGAGAGCUUUAUCUACCUUGUUUAUUGCUAUUGCACACUUCCCUUAAUUCCUUUCACUUCUUUCCCUUUUGCUGCAUAGCAUUUUUGGGCCCUAAAGAGUUUUUGUAAAGCUUAAUCACUCUUGUGGUUGCAUACCAUUGUACUCCAUUUUAUAUCAAUAUACAGUCAGUUCAUCAAAACAAAA